AUGUCGAGAGGGAAUCUUCAACAACUCAUAAGAGGAGGAGAUGACUAUAGUUUGAAUUGGGAACAACUUCAUAUUGCACUUGAUGCUGCACAAGGGCUGGAGUAUCUACACGAGUCAUGCACCCCAUCAAUAGUUCACAGGGAUGUAAAGACCCCCAACAUCCUUCUAGAAAAGAAUCUGGUGGGGAUAAUAUCUGAUUUUGGGCUUUCCCGGGCUUUUAAUGAUGCUCACACACACAUAUACAAUGUUUCUGCUGGCACUCUUGGCUACCUCGACCCUGAGUAUCAUGCAACUUUCCAACUCACAGUCAAGACAGAUGUUUAUAGCUUCGACAUCGUGCUUUUGGAGAUCAUCACUGGUCAGCCCCAGUAUUGA
rnacentral:rRNA from 1 species